rnacentral:rRNA from 1 species
AUUGAACGCUGGUGGCAGGCCUAACACAUGCAAGUCGAGCGAGCGGCGGACGGGUGAGUAAUGUAUGGGGACUGCCUGAUAGAGGGGGAUAACUACUGGAAACGGUAGCUAAUACCGCAUACUAUCGGAUAACCCAUAUGGGAUUAGCUAGUAGGUGAGGUAAUGGCUCUCCUAGGCGACGAUCCCUAGCUGGUCUGAGAGGAGGAUCGGCAACACUGGGACUGAGACACGGCCCAGACUCCGACGGAGGCAUCAGUGGGGAAGCUUGGGCAAUGGGCGCAAGCCUGAUGCAGCCAUGCCGCGUGUAUGAAGAAGGCCCUAGGGUUGUAAAUUACUUUCAGUCGGGAGGCGUUACCUACAGAGGAAGCCCCGGCUAACUCCGUGCCAGCAGCCGCGGUAAUAC